AUUGAACGCUGGCGGCAGGCCUAACACAUGCAAGUCGAACGAGUGGCGGACGGGUGAGUAAUGUCUGGGAACCUGCCUGAUGGAUGGGGCUAACUACUGGAACCGGUAGCUAAUCCCGCAUACCAUCAGAUGUUCCCAGAUGGGAUUCGCUAGUGGGUGGGUUAACGGCUCACCAAUGCGACGAUCCCUAGCUGGUCUGAGAGGAUGACCAGCCACACUGGAACUGAGACACGGUCCAGACUCCUACGGGAGGCAGCAGUGGGGAAUAUUGCACAAUGGGCGCAAGCCUGAUGGAGCCAUGCCGCGUGUAUGAAGAAGGCCUUCGGGGUGUAAAGUACUUUCAGCGGGGAGGCGUUACCCGCAGAAGAAGCACCGGCUAACUCCGUGUCAGCCGCCGCGGUAAUUC
rnacentral:rRNA from 1 species